rnacentral:lncRNA from 1 species
GAUGAUGGUGGUGCACGUCUUGGCCAGCUCCUGGACGGUCACCAUCUUGGGCCACCAGUCGGCGUCCUUGAGGUCGCCGUGCCCGACCUCGCGCACCUCCUUCCACCACUCCUCCAGCUCCUUGUCGGCCCGGAGCACGCCGUCAUUUGGGUAGUAGAUGGCCAGGUACUCGUUCACCCACCGCUCGAUCGCCCACCAGAUCACCAGUCCGUCCACCGCGUAUGGGUAGUCCUUUAUCAGCAGACGGAUGCCGUAUGGGCUCGAUUCGUCCGGCACAGCCAUGCCCCUGCACAAACAAGCAAAAUGCCAUCUGUUUAAUCAACAAACCAUUUCUUCCACACUAGCUCCGAUCUUGCUUCAACCUUUUUUCUAUUAUUAGUUUAUUACCUCUUGACGAGAUCGUCAGGGAGGCCCUGCUCAGUGAGCUUCCAGUUCUUGUAGACAACAGCAGACAUCUCAAGCGCGUAUUGCCCAGGGAAGACGGUCAGCUCGAACACGCCACCGGCGUUGAUGAGGGUGGUCCGCGCCAGGGCAUUGAUGUUCAACGUGUCGCGGUAGUGCGGGCUCAGCAGCUUGUGCACCGGGUGCACCACACUGAGUUGCCGGUUCGUCGCAAUCACGAACGGUUCGAUCACCGCAUGUGUGUUCAGCCUAAGAAAGCAAUCAAAAAGCUCAGCUCAGCGCUUUGUUGGUACCAAGGGUGGCACUUGUUCUUUAGCCUAGAACCUACAACCUGAAGCAGGGGUAUAUAAACUGAUGUUGCAAUGCAUAUUUACCAGUGGCUGAUAAGCUGAUGCCACGCAGAGUCGUCGACGGAGGCGUAAGCCUUGGCAAGCUGCCAGAUCUGGCCAUCAACGCCAGAGUUAAUGUCAGCUGGAAGGUACACCGUGCUCUUUGCGCCAUGCUGGAUCCCAUCGGGGUGCGGCUGGCUCAGCUCGAUGGCCAAGGGCUUCAGCGUGCCAUCGGCCUUCAGGAACAGCAAGGUCCUUGAAGCAUAGAUGUAGUUGCCUUCCAGCUUGUUGAUGCGGUCAAGGAAUGGCAUGAAGUUAUCGUGGUGAUCUAGAAUGAAGAGCCUCUUCUUGUCCAUUGCCUGCACAAUACAUGGUUGUUAGGACAAUCAAUCUCACUAGAUUAUUCAGUACUUGUCCAUUUGCAAUUUGCAGCACAAAUAGAUCAUUGAAAUCACAUGAUUCAUUCAACACACCUGUCUCACUGUGAGGCCAUCUUCCAGGUUCAGCUGAAUUUGAUCUUCAGUGAUAGUGCUUGACUGGUCCCCGUACACACUGGGAUCCAGGGUACUUUUUACAGGGAACUCCUAUGGUCAUCAAAUAGAAAACAAACGAUGAUGAAUUCUCAAUCGAUUAUGAGGAAAUGGUUUGUUCUUGUAUUCUUCUUUAAACGGCAUAGUGGCGCUAACCGUCAGACGUCUGAUGCAAACCGGGUUCACGCCUGCGAGCAUCUCCCGUGCAAACUCCUCAUCUGACCUCCAAGCAUACUUAUCUGGAAUUUAAGAAAAUAAGUCAUAUAACAGACAUAAAAAGUAAAACAAGGGAUGACCGUAAUAAGUAAGCCAUGCACACGGCUGAUUACCUGAUUUGAUAACAUGUGGAAGGGGCAAGUUUAGGAGGUCAUCGCCAGCAACUGGUAAAAGACUUUUAAUAAACUGAAGGGGGAUUUUAUUCUUGAGCUCCUUUAGGUGUUGGUUAUCUGGCACUUUCAGAAGACCAUCAUAGAGAUUAUAGAUGUCUUGAAACGAAUCAAACUCCUUGGGUGUACUGUCAACAUAGGUCCUGAUUAUCGGAAGAAUGGCCUCCGUGAUGGCCUUGAGAGAGUACCCAAGGAAGUCAGACAACUUGAGGUGCCCAAAGCGCUCAUCGCGGGGGACAUAGAUGUUCAGGGCCUCCUUAAUCUUGUACUUAGGAAUUCUGCUCUCCGAUCUAGGGUCUGGUGGAAAGAUCAAAUCCCCAAUAUGAAUCCAAUUGAAGGUGACAUGGUUAUGAACAUGUUGGAAAAAAAAUAUACACUGCACUGGACUCACCCGUUUCUGUUGGUGGUCGGCCAGUUCUGCAACGACGGGGAUAGGGGAGUUCUUGGGUGCCGCCGAGAACUGGGCGGGGAUUGUCGUUGUCUGGCUCACCGAGGUCAUUGUAGUAGUCAUAGCGGUACACGCGGUCAGCCUCCUUGUACUCUCCGGUCGUGUCGUCGCCUCGGAGAUUGUUGAGUUCAUCUUGCCGGUAUUGCACCAAAAGUGCAGGCAUUUUGCUGGGCAGAUAGGUCUGAAAAAUAGCGAGAAAAUGAGGCGACAGAUAAACAAGACGGGAUACAGUAGUUUUUAUUUCUCAGUCCCCAGAACCCAGGCAGGUGCUCUCAAGGGUUUAAAACCGGACUAGUGCCAAUUAACCCGUGAGAAGUAGAUAAUUCAUGUUGUCACUUGUGAUCUUGUAUCAUUUCUGAAAACAAGUUGAUAUUUCUGUCUCCUAAUCCUCUGAUCAUCAGGGAUGAGUUAAAAACAGAAAAGUUGUCAACUUGCUCUUGAGAUCUAACAACUAGUUUUGGAUCAAGAGAUUCGGAUAUGCACGGGGAUGGGCGAUUCUUGUCCGGAAGCCUACUAAAAUAGAGCAGCAAACUGAUGACACUUGCAACUUGUUGUUUCAUAACCGUUAUUAUACUGGUAACUUGUACGACCCGUUCAUUAUCUUUGUACAAAAAAAUCUCCUAAGAUUGAGUUAGUCAGUAGGGAGCUGGUGCGCAUGCAUGCAUGGGCGCGCAACUUGCUGUCAUACUAUUCAAAGCACAACUUGCUGUCAUAAGAUUCGUUCCGUCAUUUUGAACGGAUGCCCAAGCAAAAUGCUUUGACAUCUCAAGGCAAUCAAAGGACGCAAUUCCCCAAAAAUCAGAGCUUAUUUUCAAAGGAAGCUAGUUGGGAUAUGAUAAUGUAUUAUUUUUUUACUAAAAACGACCCCUUGUCGAAUUUAAUCCGUUCACUGAUCCCUUUCGAAACUCAUUUCCAAAUUCCGUAGAUAUGAUACAAGUCGCCCCAAACGGUCCGCCGGAGUGACUCCCUGGGUAGGGGGCAGAUUCGGAAACAAGUUUUCGAAGGGGUUAGCGAACAAAUUAAGUUUGUGAAAGGAUCAUUUAGGGUAAAUAAUACUUCCUCUGUACCAUAAUACUUGUUGGAACAGAGGGAGUAGUACAUUCAUGCACACAAGACAUUAUUUUUGGGGUCCUUAUUACAGAUCCUUAUUACAGUAUGUGGUGUAGGAAAUUCUGACAAGGAAUUAUUUGACAGCAGGAAAUGGCAGCCGUUGACUUGACUGAAAGACCAAAGACCCAGCAACAGCUAUUUGACAGCUAAGGUGAUCUCACCGAAUGACAGCAUGCAUAUAGUAAAUUGCCUGCCUGUACAGCUCAGACUGUCUGACUUUUUUAUUUUUGCCAAACGGAAAAGAAAAAAACUUGUUGAUUUGGAUCUGUUCUACUACUAGCAGUAUCCAUUUGCAGCCCGUCACACUGGAUGGACAAUUGCGAGUGUGUUGUAUUAUUGGCAUCUAAGUACUAGGUACAACCAACAUGAUAUACAUGCUACCUAAUCCAUGCAGCAGCAGAUUAUCUUAAUAAUGCAAGAGAAAAGAAAAGUCGGCUAAGAUCCAAUUCCGGUCCGAAGCCCGUGGCCAUACUCAGAAAAGGACGCAAUCAUUCUUAAAAGAAGAUGAAAUGCGUGCAAAACGAGAGUUCAUACGGAGUAGUAUUUAUUUAUUGAUUGAUUGAUUGAUUGCGGUGUCGUCGUCGGCGGCGGCGGCGAGGGGAAGGAAGGAAGAGGAGGAGGAAGGAGGAGCUCACGUCGUUGGCGAAGAAGAGGCGGUCGACGUUGGGGUAGAUCCAGGAGUUGGCGACGAAGACGACGGUGCCCUUGCCGGGGACGCCGUGGAGGGUGAGCGUCUUGAGCAGGUACUCGGAGCGGUAGGUGUUGCGGACGAUGACGGCGCCGGGGACGCCCUGCGACUCGUCCCACUCGAAGGUGACCUUGAACACCGACUCCCCCGCCGCCGUCGACUUCAUCGUCACCACCAUCUCCUCCAGGUGCGCCGGCUUCCCCACCUUGCCCCGGCUCCCAUUCUCUGCAACCCGCCGGAACCAUCGUCACAACAUCAGCAAGAUAUAUCGACAACAUACAACACAGAUGCAAAUGGAACGAGAUACAGUACUGAUUAAAUUAACUUAAUCAUGGCUGUCACUUUAGUUUGGAUCGAUCGCUUUGGUUUGGGAGCGGCGUCGGACACGUGUGCCCUGCUGAUUGCACUCCUCUGCUGUCAUUCUCGCAAAUUUUUAAUUUUUUUUACUCCUCUGCUGUGUUGUCAUGGGGUCGGUCCCCGGAGCCGGAGGUCAUGGCCGGCAUUGAUGCUAAACCCAGGCGGCCACGCCAAUCUAGGACUAGGAGCAUCGAUCCACGGGAUGGGUCCACGACAAGAUGAACAUGAUCAAAAGUUGAAAACUGCCCUCCUUUGUCCCUUUAUUUUUGAACUGAAAUCAACACAGAUUGUUUCUGAACUGAAUCUAAGUAGGAGCACAUGAUGUGUGAUUCUUAAAACAAGAAAGAAACUGGAAUCGAUAGUUCGAUACAGAUUGUUUUUGAACCGAAUCGAUACGGGAUUCGCAGGCAAAAAAAAAAAAAGAGUGGAAUCACCACGGAUUGUUUCUGUUUCGAAAACGCCAUGACCCAUGAGUUGGGAAACUGAAACGCACGCGCGUACGAGGCGAGAGCCGGCGGUUACGCGGCGGCGGCGUGCGACCGACGCAGGGAGGGAGAGAGGGGAGAAGCGAAGGGGAAGGGGGAAGAAAGGUUACGUGGGUCAGGGGCGGUGGCGCUGACGAGGCGGAAGGAGACGCCGUCGUCCUUGCCGAGGAUCUUGUGGACGCCGUCGAGGAGGGAGGCGUGGAAGUCGCCGAGGUCGAGCACGUCGCUCUUGACCAGCACCGCCGUGCCCCGGAUCUUGCCCUCCUUCCACGCCUCCUUGUUCUUCCCCGUCAGCCGGUCCACCAGCCCGUGCAGCAGCAUCUCUCCUCUCCUCUGCUCUCUGGUUCUGCAGCGGAGGCAGGGCAGAGCAGAGCACGAGGAACACAACCGGUGGGUGCCUGUCCCCUUGCUGAUGCACUUGGCACAAGGAGGGCAGUGGUGGUGGUAGGGUGGCCUAGAUGCAGGGCCGCUGCGGCGGGAUUUAUAGGGCGCCUCGCCGAUACUACCAAUUUACCGCGGCCACCAACCCAGCCGCAGCGAUGUCAGAGAUGGAGAGAGAUCGCCGGAGGGAGGGCGAGGUGGUGCCUUCCGGUGCACUUUAUUAUAGUAGCGGUAACAAUUUUGUUUACUGCCUACUACAGUAUUACUACUGGUAUUUCUCGACGAGAUCCCGCCGGUUAUCUUUUAAAAAAUGCAUUUUUUUCUCUCUCUCUGCAGCGCGGCGCUGAGCAUGAGGCGGCACGGAGGAGGAGCCCAGCUGGCCUGCCCUGCCUGGCUGCCAAAAACGCCAUGGACUGGACUGGGCGACUGGCUGCCAAAAAACAGGACGCCAUUGAAAAGAGAAAGGUGGAGGUCGUCGCCCUCCCUGUCCACACCAGGCUUUCCUUUUUUCCGGACCGAUUAUGCAAUAUGUCUGAUUAUUAACGAGACAUAUUGCUCUUCAUGCGGGAUACACGCUGCGCGGUGUUUCGGGUCUGUCGACUCUUGUGCAUACGUGGCCAAACAAACGUGUCUGGCACGGCCCAUCGAGGCACGUUUAGUAAUCGGGCCGUACCGUGUUAGUCCGUCGGCUGCGCCUUCAAGCAUGCCUGAGGCACAUUUAGUAAUUGGGUCGUGGGCUGCGCCUCUAGGCCCACGCACGGCCCGCUUAUUAAACGGGUCGGUCACUUGGUCUGAUUAGCACGCUCGGCUGUAUAAUUUUAGCCUUAUGAGCUUAUUUUUAGGUCUAUUGGAUCAUAUAUUAUGUAUAUAUGUAUAUUAAAAAUAUGUAAAAAAAUAAACGGAUUGUGUCGUGUCGGCCCGCGUGCCCAGGCACGGCCUGAGGCGUGCCUCGUGCCUGACACGGCCCGUUUAAAUCGUAUCGUGCCUUGCCCAUGACGGGCCAUGUCGCCAGGAUCGCGGGCCGGUCUGUUUAGCCCGGCCCGUUUGACCAGGUAUGCUCUUGUGUGCUCGCCACGGUUCGCAAACCCGCGCGGACGCAAUACCGGUCGGCCGUUCAUGUGUGAGCCUUUCAUAUUUGAUUUUCUAGAUCAAUACAAAGCAUACAAAACAGAAAACCUACAUACUACUACGUAUUAUCCUGGCUUUCGUUGUUGAAAAUGUAAACGACGUCGAUGCUUGGCGUGUGGGAGGGCUCCGGCUCCUCAUCCUCCUUCUCAAGCUCAUUCUGGUCCGCAAGCAUAUGCGCCUCCGUCGCGCCCUGCGCCGCCUCCAUCUCCUAUCAUCGCUGAUGACUCGCCUUCGCAUUCGACUCCAAACGAGUGAAGUUAAGGUGGCAUGUUGCUCAGUGCAUGGGUCCGCGACACUAGUGUCCCUCUCGUCUCCCUCUGGUUCGGUCUCCUCCUCCUCCUUCUCAAGCUCCGGCUCCUUCCCCUCGUCCUCCUCAAGCUCCUGCUCCUCCUCCACCUCUUCCUCAAGCUCUAACUCCUCCUCCUCCUCCUCCUCUUCCUCAAGCUUUGACUCCCCCUCCUCAAGCUCCGAUUCCUCCUCCUCCUCUAGAUCCACUACAUCGAGAGGUAGCCCUGCGGUGAUCCGGGCUUCGCAUCUUGCCCGGACCUGCAGCCGACGCUCCGACGUUAGAAAGUGGCGGUGGCAGGGGGUGCAUGACAUUGCCGAAGAGCAUGGGAGAGGAGGCGGAUGGGCUCGGGUGGCCACGUAGAGAGGAAGGAGGUGGAUGUGCUACGGUUGAAAAACGCCGACCAUCUUAAAUAGCUGAAUUUUGCCUCGGGCGGCAAACCGAAGCGUCGUCACGCGAUGUUCACACCGCUGUGACACGCGAGGCAUCCGUGGGACAACCGAAUUUCCAUACGAGCCCGCGUGGGACACCAUCGUCAGGCCGACAUAGCGAACGUGCAUGGACACAUCUCGACGCCUCUAUAUUUAUCCCAUAUUUAAGCUGGAUAUAAAGAAUGUCAGUUAGCUCGGCUGUUUGAGGCGUCCCGCUGGGUCAAAAUUUCGUGAGGGGCGAGUGACCAAGCAACCCGCCGUGACAUUUAAAACGAAUAUGACUGGUCCGGUUGUAAAUGCUCUAAGAGCAAGUACAAUAAGGUACAGUUAGCAGGCUGUAAGGAUUAAAAUACUAUAUUUUUGUUAAGUUGGAUGAGAGAGAAGGGAAGCGGACUUUUCGUGAAGAGUCAGCUCUAGCACGUACUCCUAGAUGCUUUGUGAGAAUGAAAGGUGGACCAUAUAUAAUAAAAGUAGUAUUUUUUUAACUAAUUAUUGUACAAGCUAGCUAUAAAGUGGGCUAUAAGAUGGCUUAUAACCAACAACAGUUGGCUAUACUAUUAACCAUGCUCUAAUCAAAAUUUGCUACUGCUACAAAUUCGGCAAACAUUACUUGCUGGGUUUUAUGGUGAUGUUUGUAUGAAGCAUUGCCCAUAAUUUGGCACGCGUUGUUGAUCCAUACACGGAGCUGCUUCCGGUGAUGAACAGGACACGCAAAUUGGUGUGUGUGGAAACCAGGAUCGACACGAUGGUAGUAGUGUUCAACAUGAUACCUGUAUCAAUUAAAGUUUCAUGGCGUAGAAACUUGGUAAAGGACAGGUCGUCGCUCAGAGAUGAGAAGUAAUAGUACAGCAUAGCUUUGCUUGCCGUUCAUCUGGCCAGCGCCGUAUUAAUUGGGUUGGGCGUGGCUAGAACGAUUAAUUGGACGGUGGCCCGAGUUAAGAAGCUGCACGUAUGGGCUAAGCUACGUUUAUUUUUUAUCUUGUUAGGGUAUCUCUCAUAUGUAAAUUUGCUUCGGCGUCCGUCCGUGGACAGGAGGCCAGCUCGCGGAUAUACUCCCUCCGUUUCUAAAUAUAAGUCUUUUAAUAAAUUCUCUAUAGAGAUUACAUACGAAUGUAUAUGGACAUACUAUAGAAUAUAGAUUCAUUUAUUUUGCUUCGUAUAUAGACCUUUCGUGAAAUCUCUAAAAAGACUUAUAAAAAUGAAGAGAGUGGUUAUGAAAACCGGUCAACCAACACUCCAUGCAUAUAUGUCAACCAGUGUUUGAACUAAACAAACGGUAUUUAUGCAAAUACGACAGAAUCCAUUCAAGUUCGGUCAUAAUUACGUAAAAACUAAAAAACUAAACAAAGAACUAAACCCUAUAACAAACGACCCCCUCUAUGCGUGGCCGUCCAGCCCCUCCCGCACCAUCGUCGGCGUCCCUCCAGCGGUAGAAUGACGUCGGAGGGCCGUGACAGCCUUGUCAGACGGCUGCCAGCUGCUCGCGGAGGAGCCACUCCGCGUCCUGCUACGGUGUACAUGGCCGCCGCAGCCACUGUCGAUGUAGUCUUCGAAGCCUUAGUGGCGGCCUUGUCGUGGCCGGCUUUAUGGAUCGCAAUUAUAACACUAAGGAAAAAUAUUGUGCUUUUUGUUAAUGAAAAUCAGCUUAAUCAAAAACAAAAAGGAAAAAUGAAGCCACGAAAUGAAGCAUUUGAAGAAAAAAGUGAAACAAAGUGAUAAGUGGGUUCCACCAAAUUUCAAACAUGCUACCUAUGAAACGUUCGUCAAAUCCAAAUAGCAGCGCAUCAUCGAGUACGGCCUUUUGUCUCCCGAGCUCCGUGAAAGCCGGAUUUUUAAAAAAAAUCGAAAUUCAAUUUUUUUGGUUUCAAAAAAUUAUGAAAAAAAUAUGCGUGUAUGUAAUGAUGUAAUAUACACGUGUGUAAAAAUUCAUGAUAAAAUACAUUGAAUUGCGAUCUAUAUAAAAAAGACAAAUUUAAAAGGACGGUUUUUUUUAUCUUGUUAGGGUAUCUCUCAUCUGUAAAUUUGUUUCCGUGUCCGUCCGUGGACAGUAAACCAGCUCGCGGAUAUAAUUGCAAAAACCGGUCAAUCAACAUUACAUGCAUAUAUUUCAAUCAUUGUUUAAACUAAACAGACGAAAUUAAUGCAAACACGACGAAAUCCAUUCAAGUUCGGUCAUAAUUACGUAAAAACUAAAAAACUAUACAAAGAACUAAACCCUAUAACGGACAACUCCCCUCUACGCGUGGCCGCCCAGCCCCUGCCGCACCACCGGUCGUCCCUCGAGCAGCAGAACAACGUCGGACGGCUGUGACAUCCUUGUCUGAUGGCUGCGAGCUGCUCGCGAAGGUGCCACUCUACCUCCUGCUGCGGUGCACAGGGCCGCCGCAGCCACUACCGAUUUAGUCUUCGAAGCCUUAGUGGCGGCCUUGUCGCGGCCGGCUUUAUGUUUCACUCGCUAAGUGACCACUCAUCGUCGAUCUUGUUGAGCUUGUUGUAAAGGCGACCGCGGCGCCCGUCGGGUGUCUCCGUGGUAGUGAAGGAGUGCUUGAGGGCCAACAUGGCGGCCACGUCGAGAUCGUUGAGGGCCAAUUCGAUGCUACAUCAUUUUUGGCGAUCGUACCGCGCCUGCGGCCUCGUCUCGCGCUCCUCAUCGGACACAACAACCUUGGAGCCCGAGUGGCCACCGCCACCGCCACCUUUGUGAUCGCGGGCGGAAACUCCUCCUUGACCGCACGGUCAAAGUUGUUGAUUUGUUUGAAAAUCAUUUGUCCCAGUCAAAGUUGUAAACCAAAUCCAAAAUCAAAUAUCUCAACUAAAUGAAAGAGAUUCAAAAUUAAAGAAGAUACAUAAUUAAAACAGUUGAAUGAAUAAACUCGUUGAGAAAUUAUUAGCCCAGUUAAACUUGGGUGACACAAAUCUAAAUUAAAGACCUCAACUAAUUGUGAGGUUUUAAAAAUUAGAAAGCAUAGUAUAGUAUAAAAGAAUUGAAUGAGAGAGUUUUAACAAAUUAUUGACCCGAUCAAAAUCGAAUGACACAAUUUCAAUUGAAGACCUCAAUUAAACGUGAGUUCUUUAAAUCUAGAAAGCUUAGUGUUAUAUAAUGGAGUAGUUCAGCAGAAAAAAUAUUGUGCUUUCGGUUAAUGAAAAUCAGCUUAAUCAAAAAGAAAAAGGAAAAAUGAAGCCACGAAAUGAAGCAUUUUAAGAAGAAAAAAAGUGAAACAAAGCGACAAGUGGGUUCCAUCUAAUUUCAAACAUGCUAUCCGUGAAAUGUCCGUCAAAUCCAAAUAGGAGUGCAUCAUGGAGUAGGGCCUUUUGGCUCCCGAGCUCCAUGAAAGCCGGAUUUUGAAAAAAAAAAUGUGUGUAUGUAAGGAUGUAAUGUACACGUGUGUAAAAAUUCAAGAUGAAAUACAUUGAAUUGCGAUCUGUACAAAUACGACAAAUUUAAGGUCUGAAAUGAUGAAUUGUAUCAUAUGUUAAAAACCUCAGAUUUGUUUUUUUUUCAUAACCCUCAUUUCAACAUAUUUUGAUCUGUAAAUUUACACACUUGCGUUAUACCUUGAUAUAUAUCUGUAAUAUUUUUCAAAAAAAUAAACUGAAAAAAUAUAAAUUUUAGAUUUCAAAUUUAGAGGGAAAAGCCCCGCGCAUCAUCGGCUUUUUAUCACGCGGAGAGGAGAAAGCGGUACGUGGUGGUUUUAAUUGGAAAUAUUGAUGUCCGGCUCUUGCAAACCUUUCUUAAGUUUGUUUCCAGGUUAUAGGAAUUCGAACAUACGGAGUGUCCGUGGACAAAUACGGGGCCUAGUUAGAUGACAUACUGUAUGCGUAUGUACGCCUUAUAUUUCUUGAAAAAGAACAAGUUAAUCGCACUAGAAUCACCUCAAAUUCCGUUCCAACGAUCGACACAACCGAUGAGCGGAACGGUAUUCAAUCGAACAUGGAGUGCCACCGCAAGGCACUGAGCAGAAAAUGACGAGCAUACUGUACUAGAUAAAGAAGUUAAGCACGGCUUUUCUGCUCAAACGGAUGGAUAAGUUGUUUGGUACGCGUAAACUUAUUAACUUAACUUUUAGGGCAUCUUCAAUGACAAUACGUAUAUUUUGUUUCGUACCUGUCUCUAUAGAAGGAUCAGUCCAUGGACAUAGAUAUAAAAGGUCGAUAUUCAACGUUGUCUACAUAUAUUUGGCCAACAAUUCAAAUUAAUCAAACGAAAUUUGUUCAAAUCUAGCGGAUUACAUAAUUUACAUAAACAUUCGGUAUUUUGACCGUUUUUAUUAAAAACUAUUAAGAACAGCAAAAACCUAUAUAGGACGACCACCUCGUAAGCGUGGCCUCUUUGUCGUGUCGCAUCGCCGUCGGCGUUCGUGUCGCUGUCGUCAUCAUCGUCCCUCCAGCGGCUCAAUGAUGUUGGAGGGUCGCGGCAGCCUUGUCCGACAGCUACAUGACACUCGAGGAGGAGCCGCUCCGCCUCCGGUUGCGUCGUGCGAAGGGCCGCCUUGUCCACUAUCAAAGGCGCCUUCGGCGGCCUUUCCCUUGUCAACGUUAGCGGAGCAGUCGCUAAGAGACCACUCAUCGCCGGCAUUGGUCAUCUCGUCGUCAAAGCGGAGGCGGCGAGGUCCGGGUCGUGGCGGACCCAUUCUGGUGCCACGUCCGUCUUCGCGAACAUGAAGCGGUGACCGGCAUCACGUUGGUCCUAUACCUCACCUGCUGUCGUGUCAUGGGCUCGCUCUCGGAUACCACAGCGUGAGAACUGGAGGCACCGUCAAAAUCACCGCCUUCGAGUGUGGCCUCACGCGUUGGGGGUGCCGGGUGACACCUCCUCCUUUACCGAGAGGCGGUGUCGUCGUGGUGGAAAUGACGGGUCGUCGAUUCACGUGUAUCGGUUGUGUGACGGGGGUGACGUCGGUUCGUCCUUCAUGCGGUAAAGGCGUCGGGGGGACGUCGACUCGUGCUUCACGCGGAUGCCGAUGAGGACGUCGCGAUUACACGGUUAGGACGGUGGCUCGUCCUUCGCCUAUCGAAGAUGUUGGGCCCGUGGUGGGAAUGGUGGCUCUUCAUGCACGCGCGCCGACGAUGAUGGUGUCAGUCCUAUCAGACGUAGCGAACACUCCCAUUAUCUCCAUCCGACGGACGAAUUCUUCGUUCGUCUGAGCCACCUCCGAGAGGAGAUGGGGCCAAUGUUGGUUCUCCUCGUUGUCGGAGAGCUUGCCGUUGUGGAUGCAGAUGGAUCCGAUGAGCAAGGGCGGCGAUGCCGCGAUCCACGUGACAAGGAACUUCCAUCGGCGCCGCCUGUUGGUGUGAAGAACUAGGACUUGACAUCGCCGCUAGGAUUGGAGAGGAGGAAGGUCUCAAUAAGGGGGAGUGCGGAUCCGUUCGUUGUCGGCGCAGGGCUUAAAUAGCUGCGCCCAAGCCAGGAGAAGGUGUGGUUAGCCUGCUUCAAUGCGGCGCAACGGCAUAAGUUGGCUCCUCGAGAUGUGGGCCCGCAUUGAAAUGACGACGCCUGGGAGGUCGUGUUCGUUUGUACCGUCUUUCUAUACGGUUAAGUUGUGGGCAUCAAUGCGGACUGCCGCAUGCUUUGGGCCGACAUAAAUGCGGCACGAAAAGUGGUGCGACGCAUGGGAUAGAAAACAUGGAAGGGCGUAUGACGGGUUUUGGUGGAGCAGUGAGACGCAAAUUUGGAAGCGAUCUGGACGUCCGUAAAUCCACCUCGCGUUUGUCUUUGAUUUAUGAAAAGAAAAUAUGUCGGUACCGUCGUUCAAACCGAUACAUGUCCGCGUUAAAGGACUAUUGUAAUCAAGGUAUACAUAUAGCGACGGCGGUUUGUGAGUCGGCCUUGAAGAUGGCCUUAACCUAUCAUCACCGUAGGCUGGAGAUGCGUUCAUGGUAGUCUCGUAGAUGGAAGUUCCAUUGUGGAUUAUUUGAAGCCGCAACGGUUCGGGGCGAGGGGUUCCCGAGUCAUUUUCCCGUUUCUUCUAGUAGUAAUCAUCACGAACAGAACAGCAUGAUUAUCAAGUUGUAUUAUUCAUGUCCCUGACAAAGCAAAGCAGCCAUCUCAUAAACUAAUGGAUCGCGUGUUUGGCGACGGAGGAGUUUAAUCAUCGGCUCGGGCCUACGUAGCAGCCGUGACCGUAGGUGUACCGCAUGCGAUCCUUGCUGCUCGGAAAUAUCCAAAUUAAAAAGAGCAUGCAAUCCAUGGCCGCAUUGACCCGCGAUGCAGGGUCGUACUACAAAGAAUGCAAAAGAAAAUGGGGGGCCGAUGGAGAAUCUAAUUUGCACGCUUCUUGCCAGCGGCGCCACCAUGGAUGUGGAUGGAUUACGAUCGUCAUCUGCGACGAAGACCAAGAUCGCGAUUCGAUGCCACGAGGCCGCGUGCUAAUCGUGGCCGCCUAUUAUAUGCGUGGUUCACGGGCAGAUGGCCGCGAUACGAGUGAGCGGAGGGUACGAAGCUGCUUCCUCACUUGGAAAUCUCCUCGGAUCCUCGCUGCUCUCGUCGUAAGAUCAUACAAUGGUUGGACCGUCUCCAUCUCGGCGAUCUGAUCAUGUCGCCUCUGCCCCCAAACUGUGGGCGGGCAGUACAGUAUUAUCACAGGAGUAGCAUAUACACAACGAGCCAAUAAUGCACUGUAUUAUCACAGUUGUAAUUUAAGGCCUUUCCGAGUUUCCAGUGGAGCACAUGGACACCUGAUUGUUGGGUAGCGCGCCUGGACUUUGGAGCAACACAAGUUAGCCAGCUGACCCGAGGUUUGCAAGCGAACCCAUGCAUGCUACCGACUUUGGAUCCACAUGCGAACCCAUGCAUGCUACCGUAGCCAAGUUCACGUGGGAGUUGGGUAAGCAAGUCCAUGCAGCAGCUGCAGGUUAAAACUGCACGCUAAGUACGUACUACUACGACUAUGUUUACAACUUGUGCUCUGCAUAGAAAUAAAUACUUGGUUUGCAAGCGCACACGAUGGACCGUGUUUGCUGAUCAGCGCCGCACGUGUUACCAUGUGAAACGCUCGCAGAUCCCCACUACUAUUAAAUAAGAGCAUCCGUAACUUCCAAAUUAAAUUCGGCCACACAAAUCUUCAGGGAUGCGUUCGGACACGUCGAGGGUACUGAUCGGUCACGUCUUUAAUCUACUUGUCCAUGUCCAUCUCUUUCAUAUUUCAUUCAUUAGAUUCAUAUAAAAUCAUUAAAAAAUGAAUAAUCUACAUACUACGUACUAUACUACUCUUCGUCAUCGUCGAAGAUGGCCCGAGCCGUCAGCGCCGCCUCCAUCUGCUGCCGACCAAGACUAGUGGCCUCCACGGCCGACUUCAAACGGAUGGAGUUUAGGAUGGCCUGCUACUCCGGCCAUAGAUCCACAUCCUCCUUUCCCACAUCCAGCGGCGACGCCUUCUCCGUCGGCUCCUGCUGGUCCUCCCCACACCUAGUGACGGUGCCUCCUCCAUUGGCUCCUGCUCCUCCUCCUCUUCCACCCCAGCUCCUGUUGGGAACGUAGUAAUUUUUUUUUAAAAAUCUACGCCAUGCAAGGAUCUAUCUAUGAAGAAACCAGCAACGAGCAAAGGGGUAGAGCAUCUUCAUACCUUUAAAGAUCGCUAAACGGAAGCGUUACAAUGAACGCGGUGGAUUUCAUCUAUGUGCCGAACCACGGCACCUCCGUGUUCAACACACGUUUAGUCCGGUGAUGUCUCCCACGCCUUGAUCCAUCAAGGAGGAGGGAGAGGUUGAGGGAGAGCUCCGCAGCACGACGGCGUGGUGGCGAUGGAGUUACGUGGCACUCCGGCAGGGCUUCGUCAAGCUACGCGGAGGACGAGGACGAGGAGGAGUAGGGCUGCGUCGAGAGAGAGAGAAUUCUCGUUCCAAAUCUGUCCAAAACCAUCACUAUAUAUAGAAGGAGAGGGAGGAGGGUGCGACAACUCUAGAUGGCCCUUAGGCGGCGGGCAAGGUGGUGGAGGCGCCCUAGGGUUGGGCUUUGAGGCCCAAAGUGGCCUCCAACGCCUAGGGUUUGCCCCCCUCCACCCCUUGUUGCGCCUUGGGCUGCUUGUGGUAGCGCACCAGCCCACAUAUGGACAUGUUCCAUGCUACGAUAGCUAACUAGAGGGUGUCGGUCAGCUGAGCAAGAUCACACAGUCCAUGCUACGAUAGCUAACUAGAGUUUAUGAAGGAUUUUCUGUUCUUUCUUUCUGUGAUAGAUGGACCCCCAUGACAUCAACAUUGACCAUUAGUUAAAGAGUUUCUUACGUCCAACGGUGGAGGAUCUUUUAGGCAGGCGUAGACAAAGAGGCGUAGAAAAAGAACGUAACCCAUGCAAACCAAGUACUAGUGGAGUAUCUUUUAGGCAGGCGUAGACAAAGUAGGAUUUUUUUUCUGUUCUUUCUUCCUGUGAUAGAUGGACCCCCAUAACAGCAACAUUGACCAUUUCACUUAAACGUUAUCCCAUUCCACGUGGCUCUGACUAAUGGGUUCUGCUGUCAGUUUUUUUGUGUCAAAACAUGGUCAAACGUCGUUUUUAGUGCUUUCUGCAAACAAUUAUUCAGAAUCGGUGUUUUUAGCAAACCUUUUAUAAAAAAAUGUAUUUUUCAGCACUGAGCGACGUAAUUAUGCUAGUUUUUGACAAUUUACCCAGUACUAUUCCUACUUUAUCUACGCCUGCCUAAAAGAUACUCCACUAGCACUUGUUUUGCAAGCGCACACGGCCAUGUUUGUUGAUUAGCACCGCACAGAAAACGCUCGCUGAUCCACACUACUAAACUAAAGUAGUAUGAAUGAUCUCAAAAAGACUAGCAGCCGAGCCUCAGGUGGAUGGGACAGAAAACACAAGCCGCACUACAAGAUGUUCAGAUUGCGACGCGCAUGGCUAAUUGUGUGUCCACUACUGUUAAUUCAAGCUCAGGCUGAGCAUCUACUAAAUCAACAGAGACAGCCGAUGAGAAGGAUAAUGGCCCUCUCUUUUUUAAAAAUGCCACUCUUCCCCUUUUGGGCGGGCCAUGGAGUUGGUUUCGUGCAAGCAGUGCCCGUCUUGACCUUGGUUAGAAGCCUCGAGCAAGUGUCAAGUCAUCACUCCUAUGUAAAACCCAUCUUUUUUGUACACGGCUUUGUCAAGAAAAACAAGAAUGAAAAACUCGCCUACCUUUGCCCACCGGAAUUUGGGGGCUGGUGUUAAUUAAAGCUAAAAGGCUGGAUGGAGAUUGUUUCAGAGAACACGUGGGGACAUAAAAAUGACUGACAUAACACAACUAUUACAGUCCGUCCUUAAUCAUUGCGGUUCAUCUCCUAUCAGCCGUCAAGCCCAUCCAUCCUCUCCAAAAUGUGUCGGCAUUAUUAGCCAUCUCCUCACAUCGGCAUCGUUAUUGUCAUCGUUGUCAUCAUCAUCAUCGGCAUCGGCAUCCCGACGCAUUAUAAAUUGCAAUAAUUCAUUUUAGCAAACACUGAUUUGGUGAAUUAUUGAUCCCGCACUGUCAGCACAGGAUCCGUUGGGCUGCCAAGACGGAGAUAAUUAGGAGCACAAGGGACAAACACGACGCGCCUCCUUUUGUUAAUUAAAUUCAGCAUGGGCAUGUUGCUCGAUCGAGUGUUUGAGAUGCGGUGACCAACUACAGCUUCUUCACCUCUCGCACGUCCUUCUUGUUGCUGCUAAACAGUGUUGCCUCUCGCUGAACUGACUGGCCAACAACCCCUUUGUACCAUCCAGAUCCAGAUUCCUCUCACAAUACUCCUGCAAAAGUUACUCCAUGUUGUGCGUUUGAUUUGAUUUCCCCCUGACAAGUUGGCAUAUGUUCCCGGCUCGGUUUCCACAUGGCAAUGAAGUGUAUGUUACAGAUGUAGGACAUGCUCAGUCCCUUAGCUCAUGCAGCUUCUCCACUGAUCAGUGAACAUGGACACGCCAAUUGAUGCAUGUAACUAAAUCAUUAGGGGUUCAAAAAGUCUCGCUAUCACAAUGUGCAAUCAUAUUCACGUGACUCUGCAUGUCGUAUACGGUGAGGUGUUGGUUCGACGAUCGUCUGUGAUAGGGUCGGAGUCACUUGCUCCGGAUUCAAGAUGGCAACAGGAGAAGUGAUGCCGGCGCCCGGCGCCCGUGAGCUAUAUCGAUGGGGGUCUCCGUGAAGAGUGUUUCAUAUGUGCUGCUGCGAUUGUGGUAGUUUCUGUUAAUUAAGUGAGCAAUUCGUUCCGCUUAAAAACGGAUGGGGCAUUUCUUUUCAUCCAUUUCAAACAAUAGUAAAUGCCAUGACUGACACAAUUCCAGUGGAAGCAAAUCUGCUUUAUUUAUUCGGCUUAAAGAGCAACUGCUGACAUAGUACUGUCACAGACACACACUACACCAAUCUCUCGACAAGUUUCGUACGUGGCGAACGCCCUUUAUUCAUCCAUGGUUGCCGAUGGCUUAGAUUAGAUGGAGAUGCUGUUGGGGAUGCCCUUGGCGGUAAGCCCGGCAGCGGCGCCCUUGUGGUCGGAGGUGUUGGGGUAGAGCAGCAUGUAGGGAAACUUAGCCGGGCCGUUGCGGUUCUUGAGCUCCGGGUCAUGGUUCAUGCCCACCACCUUGCUCUCGAUCUCCACCAGCCGGUCGCUGAACCGCUUGAACACCUCCAGGGCCUUUGGGUCCGAGGUCCACUCCGGCGUGUCCCGCUGCCCGAGGUACAGCUCGUCGGAGGAGUGCUUCGACAGCACCUCCAGCAGCGACACGCCGAUGAUGGUCUGGAUCUGGCUCGUGAUGGUGUGGAUGAAGGCCCGCUCCGGGUCGCGCUCCAGCUCCGCGUACUCCUCCGUGCCGGGCUCCGGCAUGCGGCGCCGGCUCACCGUCGGCCGGUUCGGGAGGAACCCCGCGUAGGGGUACUGCCCGAAGUUGACUGCCGCAUGCAGCGCCGACCCGAUCCAGAUGAUGGUGGUGCACGCCUUGGCCAGCUCCGGCACACUUUGCAUCUUGGGCCACCAUGGGGCGUCCUUGAGGUCGCCGUGCCCGACCUCGCGCGUCUCCUUCCACCACGCCUGCACCUCCGUAUCGCCCUGCAGCACGCCGUCGUUCGGGUAGUAGAUGGCCAGGUACUCGCUCACGUACUGCUCAAUGGCGUGCCAGAUCGCCAGCCCGUCCGCCGCGUACGGGUAGUCCGACACCAGCAACCGCACCUUGUACGGGCUCGACGGGUCCUCCACCGCCAUGCCCC